UACGGAGGGUGCAAGCGUUAUCCGGAUUUACUGGGUUUAAAGGGUGCGCAGGCGGAUAUGUAAGUCAGUGGUGAAAUCUCUAGGCUUAACCUGGAAAUUGCCGUUGAUACUAUAUAUCUUGAAUGCUGUGGAGGUAAGCGGAAUAUGUCAUGUAGCGGUGAAAUGCUUAGAUAUGACAUAGAACACCUAUUGCGAAGGCAGCUUACUACGCAGAUAUUGACGCUCAUGCACGAAAGCGUGGGGAGCAAACGGG
rnacentral:rRNA from 1 species